rnacentral:rRNA from 1 species
AGAGUUUGAUCCUGGCUCAGAUUGAACGCUGGCGGCAGGCCUAACACAUGCAAGUCGAACGGUAACAGGAAGCAGCUUGCUGCUUCGCUGACGAGUGGCGGACGGGUGAGUAAUGUCUGGGAAACUGCCUGAUGGAGGGGGAUAACUACUGGAAACGGUAGCUAAUACCGCAUAACGUCGCAAGACCAAAGAGGGGGACCUUAGGGCCUCUUGCCAUCGGAUGUGCCCAGAUGGGAUUAGCUAGUAGGUGGGGUAACGGCUCACCUAGGCGACGAUCCCUAGCUGGUCUGAGAGGAUGACCAGCCACACUGGAACUGAGACACGGUCCAGACUCCUACGGGAGGCAGCAGUGGGGAAUAUUGCACAAUGGGCGCAAGCCUGAUGCAGCCAUGCCGCGUGUAUGAAGAAGGCCUUCGGGUUGUAAAGUACUUUCAGCGGGGAGGAAGGGAGUAAAGUUAAU